CUUUUUCCACACGGGUAGCUUAGGAGGAAUCCGCCGCGCAAAUCUGUCCGCCCCCUUGGCCACUGAGCCCCUGAAGAGCUUCUGUCGCCGCUCUAGGGUAAAGGAGAGCUGCUCCUGCCCCCGCCUUUCUGAGAAUACAGACAUUGAAGUUUGGGACAAGAUAUUUAUCUAACUUCUGUGUCAAAAUUAACGACCUGCUAUGGCAAUGAAGAAAGAAACUAAAUUUGUCAUUUUCACCUAAAGAAAAAUGAUAGACAAAAAUCAAACCUGUGGUCUAGGACAGGAUUCUGUGCCCUAUAUGCUUUGUCUGAUUCACAUACUGGAAGAAUGGUUUGGUGUGGAGCAGUUGGAGGACUAUUUGAAUUUUGCAAACUAUCUCUUGUGGGUUUUUACGCCGCUAAUACUUUUAAUACUUCCUUACUUUACUAUCUUUCUUCUCUACCUUACCAUUAUUUUCUUACACAUUUAUAAGAGAAAGAAUGUAUUAAAAGAAGCCUACUCUCAUAAUUUAUGGGAUGGUGCAAGGAAAACGGUGGCAACUCUGUGGGAUGGACAUGCAGCCGUUUGGCAUGGAGGAGUCUCUUCGUGCCCCUCCUGUGACCCCAGGAAAAGGUCGCCUCUGCUUAUAACUCCACAUGGAGGUUAUGAAGUUCAUGGAAUGGAGAAAAUACCAGAAGAUGGACCAGCACUUAUAAUUUUUUAUCAUGGAGCUAUUCCUAUAGAUUUUUACUAUUUCAUGGCCAAAAUAUUUAUACACAAAGGCAGAACUUGCCGAGUAGUAGCUGAUCACUUUGUCUUUAAAAUUCCAGGCUUUAGUUUAUUACUGGAUGUGUUUUGUGCUCUACAUGGACCAAGAGAAAAAUGUGUUGAAAUUCUGAGGAGUGGCCACUUGUUAGCUAUCUCACCAGGUGGAGUUCGAGAAGCCCUAAUUAGUGAUGAAACUUACAACAUUGUAUGGGGUCAUCGCAAAGGCUUUGCUCAGGUUGCAAUUGAUGCAAAAGUGAUGAGGAGACUCAGGCACAGAGAGAUGGAGGGAUGGAAGGGAUCUGGUCACUCAGCAAGGCAGCAGCAGAGCAGAGCACACAGUUCAGAACUCGAGGCAACUGGUAUUGUUGCCAUUCCUGACUACAUUGCACACCCAUUAUUCCUAUGUUUACACAAAAUAUUCGAGAAGGAUUUAGAUCACUUGGAGGAACAAGGUUAUUUAGGUGGCUUUAUGAAAAAUUCCGCUAUCCAUUUGCUCCAAUGUAUGGAGGUUUUCCAGUGAAGUUACGGACCUAUUUAGGUGACCCCAUUCCGUAUGACCCAAAGAUAACAGCAGAAGAAUUAGCUGAAAAGACGAAGAAUGCUGUUCAAGCUUUGAUUGAUAAGCAUCAAAGAAUACCAGGAAACAUUAUGAGUGCUUUGUUAGAACGUUUUCAUUGAUAAUAAAGGGUCAACUAGAAGAUGAUUUAAUACAUUUAUAUUUAUAUUAAGUGUUUGUAUCUAAGGUACUGUCUUCUGAAUUUUGUAGGUCCUAUAAUUAGUAUUUUUUUAAAAAAUCAUGUUAGUAAGCAUCUUUCACAGAAUUCAUUGGUUUAAAAUUGUAUUGUCAAAUUUGUUUUUGCUAUUGUGUCAAAUACUAACAAAUUACACACCUAAUAAUUCAGAAAAAUAUGUUUUAUUUGUAAAUUCCUAAUAAUGUAUGCUAAACCUAUAGAUUCUUAAAGUUAAGUUUAUUAAUAACAGCAGUUUAAGUUAAACAAACAUUCCUGGAUAACGCGUUAAAUUUCUGUAUCUGUUGCCCUGAGCUGAUUUUGAUAGAUGGCGUAAGCUAGGGGUUAGUAUAGUUGUUUAAAUUAGAAAAAAACGUGCUGUUUUCUGCGCCUCAUUCCCUUCAUGACCUUGGGCAAGUCAUGUAAUGUUUUUGUGCCUCAACAAUUAACUUUUUAAAAACAUGAUCAUAUGGUGAAUGAUAUUAUUUUGUUAUUUAUAUUUGCUGUGAUUGAUAACUAUUGAACCAAAAUUAUAAUUAAUUUAAAAAAUGUCAAAAUCCUUUAGGAGUUAUGUAUAUAUUUUCUCCAUUGUGUAUUUAAAUUAUGUCUUCAGAUAUCAUGUCCAGUUGCCAAGCACAAUGAAAAAGAUGUAUUAUUUUUUAAAUUGAAUAAAAAAGAAAUUAGGAAAAAUAAAAUUUCUUAUUUUUUUUAGUAUGAUAUUUUUAACAAGACUCUAUAAGCAAACAAUAUAGGGUAUGCUGUGCAUUGUCACCCCUAUACUAUGGUCUUAAUAACGCCAGUUAAAAAUCACUGUUGUGCUCUGCAUUUCGUGUGUUAGAAGCUGAUUCUAAGCUGAGGAAAACAGAAUUCUCUACUUUUGCUCACUAUUGAGGCUUACCCAGUUUGACUCUGCAGCCAAUGAAGUGGUUUAUUGCUUCAAUAAAAAUAUACUUGAAUGAUAAAUUUAUUUAUUUUUGUUUUGUUUUGUUUUUAUUUAGAGAUGGGGUUUUGCCAUGUUGGCCAGGCUGAUCUCAAACUCCUGACCUUAGGUGAUCCACCCGCCUCAGCCUCCCAAAUUGCUGGGAUUACAGGUGUGAGCCACCAUGCUCGGCCUGAACGAUAAAUAUAUGUGAACACAGAGCCCUGUGAAAAAUUAAUGAUUUUCAAUUUGUCUUCUUGAAAAAUGAAUUUAAGUAUUAUUUAAACAGAAAAGUGUCAGAAAUCAAAUACAGUAUCUCCCUCUCCCUUUUUUAAAUGUUAAAUUACUAGGGUUUUUGUAUAGCUUUUUGUAUUGUGUGUAUUUAUGAUAUGUGAAAUGUGUAUAAAAUUAAACAAUGUGAAAAUAAA